rnacentral:lncRNA from 1 species
UCAUGCUCUUGGAUCUGGGCGUGACAAUUUUUUAUUUAACAUGUGUAGCAAACACUGAAUUGGAUGCCUGUAAAGUGCAGAAAGGAAAGGAAUAAAAGCUAGAUCAAAUCUAUUUAUAGCAACUGCAAUGUUACAAAAACAAAUUUCAUUCUGCUUGCACAAAAGUUGCAUUGGAAAUUGUUGAAAUCACCACUUAUCCUAAAAGCUUAAGCUGAUAGGAUGAGAUAGAUUUAUUUAUAUAUU